rnacentral:misc_RNA from 1 species
GUGUGCUUCUUAGAACGUUUUCCUCUGAUUAGUGAAGAACCAGGUAGGGAACUCUGCCUAACUUUCAAGCAUGAUGCCAAUUCUCGGAGUUUUGAUUUGAUUUCUUUCCUGAUUUCAGCAGUUCCAUCUCUCUUCAAUGGAAUCUGUUCUGUCUGAGGCUCCCAAUAAUAAGAUUUCAACCAAUGAAUUGCCUUAGCUGCUGAAUCCCUAACUAGGGUCAGUGCAGGCAGAUCACGGUGAGAACCCU